rnacentral:lncRNA from 1 species
GUGGCAAUCGUUAAGCAAAAACAAAACACAAAGGCAUGGAGACCUGGGGAAAAAGCAACCCUGAGAAAUCCACCCUCUGAAAGUGACGAGGAUGGGCAACAGAGGCUACCUCACGUGGCAAACUUUAAGCCAAAAGAAACACACAAGGGCGUGGAGACCUGGGGAAAAAGCAGCACUGAGAAAUCUACCCUCUGAAACUGACGAGGAUGGGCAACAGAGGCUACCUCAGGUGGCAAUCGUUAAGCAAAAGAAACACACAAGGGCGUGGAGACCUGGGGAAAAAGCAACACGGAGAAAUCCGCCCUCUGAAACUGAGGAAGAUGGGCAAGAGAGGCUAGCUCAGGUGGCAAUAGUUAAGCAAAAACAAAACACAAAGGCGUGGAGACCUGGGGAAAAAGCAACCCUGAAAUAUCUACCCUCUGAAACUGAGGAAGAUGGGCAAGAGAGGCUGGCUUCAGGUGGCAAAGUUGAAGCAAAAGAAACACACAAGGGCGUGGAGACCUGGGGGAAAAGCAGCACUGAGAAAUCUACCUUCUGAAACUGAUGAGGAUGGGCAACAGAGGCUACCUCAGGUGGCAAUCGUUAAGCAAAAGAAACACACAAGGGCGUGGAGACCUGGGGAAAAAGCAACACGGAGAAAUCCACCCUCUGAAACUGAGGAAGAUGGGCAAGAGAGGCUAGCUCAGGUGGCAAUCGUUAAGCAAAAACAAAACACAAAGGCGUGGAGACCUGGGGAAAAAGCAACCCUGAAAUAUCUACCCUCUGAAACUGAGGAAGAUGGGCAAGAGAGGCUGGCUUCAGGUGGCAAUCGUUAAGCAAAAGAAACACACAAGGGCGUGGAGACCUGGGGAAAAAGCAACACGGAGAAAUCCACCCUCUGAAACUGACGAACAUGGGCAAAAGAAGCUAGCUCAGGUUGCAACCUUUAAGCAGAAAAAAAAAAGACGCAAGGGCGUGGAGAGCUGGCGAAAAAGCAACACUGAGAAAUCUACCCUCUGAAACCGAAGAAGAUGGGCAACAGAGGCUAGCUCAGGUGGCAAUCUUUAAGCAAAAAAAAUAAAAUAAAAAAAUACAAUGGCGAGGAGACCCGGUCAAAAAGCAACCCUGAAAAAUCUACCCUCUGAA